UAUUGCACAAUGGGGGAAACCCUGACGCAGUGACGCCGCGUGCAGGAAGAAGGUUUUCGGAUUGUAAACUGCUUUAGACAGGGUAGAAAGAGAUGACGGUACCUGUAGAAUAAGCUCCGGCUAACUACGUGCCAGCAGCCGCGGUAAUACGUAGGGAGCAAGCGUUAUCCGGAUUUAUUGGGUGUAAAGGGCGCGUAGACGGGUAUACAAGUUAGUAGUGAAAUCCCUCGGCUUAACUGAGGAACUGCUACUAAAACUAUAUAUCUUGAGUACUGGAGGGGAAAGCGGAAUUCCUAGUGUAGCGGUGAAAUGCGUAGAUAUUAGGAAGAACACCGGUGGCGAAGGCGGCUUUCUGGACAGAAACUGACGUUGAGGCACGAAAGUGUGGGGAGCAAACAGG
rnacentral:rRNA from 1 species